UAUUUCAAAAAUUUUAUGAGCAAAGAUGAAUAGUGGCUAGCAGUGGAAUCCAGGACGCGCGUUUCGUCCU
rnacentral:tRNA from 1 species